CCUUGCGCGCUGUUUGCUUGACAGCAUCCUGCGUUUCCGGCUCUCUUUGCGUACUUUUCUGCAACUUUGGAAUAUUCCUGCGUGUUGCUCGCUUUUAUGAGCUUCUUGUUUCCUCGGAGAUCACCAUGACCGCUUCUGACUCAGCCACAUCAAAGCACAGGCGAUACUUUCUUCGUCCUUGUCUACCUAAGAGAGCCCUAGUGGUGAAAAGAAAAUGGCGGAAGGCAAGAAAGACGACUGCAGCGGAAUCCACGUCCUUUGGUGACAAAUCUGAGUUCAAGCAACAUAAGGAACAAGCUACAUUGUCUGUAGGUGCAUCAGCCUGUGGAACUGUCUAAGCCAGCUCCCUGAAUAAUGAAGUGACCAAUCUGUGAUAACAUAAUCAGAAAGAAAAUCUCUAGAAGGUGGAUUAGAAAUAUUUCGCUUAUGUAGUGGUCUUAUUGAUUUUAUUUAUUAAAAAUUCUUUGAAACCUUUGGCCA